ACAGUCUGUGACAGAAAAUUGUCUGUGCGGGUCCAGGUCUUCGUAUAGGCCCCAUAUAUCAGUACCUCCCCAUAUUCGGUAUUUUGACUGAUUUUAGGUACAAUACCCACCGAAAUUGUUUGAAAUGUGGUAUUUGAAGUUUUGAAGAAAUUGUAAUAAAAAUAUGAUGUAAACAAACGUGAAAAUUUUGUUUUAAGAUUUGCUCCCAAUCUUUCAAUUGACUUGCAGAGCGAAUUGUCUGCAAAAAUCUUACAAAUAAUUAACACUUAAAGCUAAAAUAAAUAAAAAACAUAUCGUUAAAUUGUUGACUUACGAUGAACUUAAAAUAAACAAAAUAAAGUAUUGUCUUGGUGAAAAAGUUUGGUGUUGAAUAUUGCCCAGAAUCAUUGUCAAAUCUUACAUUUAUGAUACCUAUAGUAGAAAGUGCUGUUUGUGUAUGUUAUGAAAGGUGGUAAAAUGGAUUCCAAUGCAGAAUCAAACUGUCGACGAAACAUACUCCAAUCCGUGGACUUAUAAGAAACAACCACUCUGGGAGUUUUGAGGACAAUACCACCUGUAUUGAACGAAAUAUCCAAUUUGAGAGGGUAAUGGUCAAAAAAUGA